UGGCAACGUUUUUGGUAUGAAGAAACAAUCGGCUGUGUGUGCGUUGAACUUAACAAAACUUGACAAAGUCGCUUCAAAUGAAGUAUCUUUGCAUAUGGAGGGUUUCGAAAGAAAUUUAAGAGUGCUCUUUGACGAAAGUCCAGAGAGUCGAAUAGCGAUGGAUGGGGUGAAGGGCACUGGUUGGCGAGGAUGCAAAAAUAGAAGUUCUGGUUUAGGAGACAACGUGACUGAUCCAGAUUACCAUGGUUGGAAAUACAGUUUGUGUCCUCAUAUGGCGUGUGAAGUGGCAACAGUGACAGUGGAAUUAGUGGACUGUGAAAAUCUAUGGAGGGCGAAAGACAUGACCAACUUAGGGUACAAUGUCAGGACAUACUCCUCAGCAGAAGACACGAGGAAAAAGAAAUACAGUCCCAACAUUGUUUAAGGCUAGAGAACUCCCGUCUCAUCGAAGCUCUGACAGCUGACCAAUUUGACGAGAAAACAAAACAAGUUUUUAUGGAACCAGGCGACACAAAAACACUCAGUUGCCGAAUCAAGAAAGACCUUCUCGGCUCACAGACAGUUCACGAGAACGAUCCAGUCUAUUUCUACUUCGUCACUCCCGAAGGACGAAGAAUUGAUCAUGGUUUAACGAACUCAAAAUAUUCGAUUGAAGGCGCCUCUUUGAAACUUAAAGACAUUCAAGAAAGAGACAUAGGGGUGUAUUAUUGCGUCGUGGAGUUGAAGGAUUCUGUAAUUUUGGGAACGAGGUUUAAUGUGAGAAUCAGAAGCUGUCAUGAUACAGGUUGCAGUGGAACUGAUGUUUGCACCCAUCUUAAAAGGUCAAGUGGAAUCACAGAUUACAUAUGCAUACCGCUGGACUUCUUCGAGCCAGAUACAAUAGCGAUUGGAUAUAUGACGCCGCUUUGGAUGAGAAUUACUUUCUGGGUUUUGCUGUGCCUGUUUUUGGCUGCUAAUCUAGUCGGGAGUUUUUACUAUGUCGCUGCUAUGAAAGGGUUUCUAGGAACAGAAAAGCGUCAAAAACGACAUCACAAAUCGAAGAAAAAAGAAAAAAAAGAUUCAAAAAACUACAAUGAAACCGAGCUGUAACACUUGGAAGUUGAAUGAAAAUGCCAUAAAACUACUACGAAAAACUGAAGAACGUUUUGUGGUGAAAAUUUUUAUAACUUCUGUUCACAUAUUUAAUCAGUCUUCGCUAAUUGAAUACAAAAUUAGAAAAAAGAACAAUUUGUUAUUUUUGGGUUAUCGUUUGCAUUUGCCAUCUUGCUAGUUUAUUUCUAU